AACGAACGCUGGCGGCAGGCCUAAUACAUGCAAGUCGAACGCACCGCAAGGUGAGUGGCAGACGGGUGAGUAACGCGUGGGAACCUUCCUAGUAGUACGGAAUAACUCCGGGAAACCGGUGCUAAUACCGUAUAAGCCCUCCGGGGGAAAGAUUUAUCGCUACUAGAUGGGCCCGCGUCGGAUUAGCUUGUUGGUGAGGUAAUGGCUCACCAAGGCUUCGAUCCGUAGCUGGUCUGAGAGGAUGAUCAGCCACACUGGGACUGAGACACGGCCCAGACUCCUACGGGAGGCAGCAGUAGGGAAUAUUGGACAAUGGGCGAAAGCCUGAUCCAGCCAUGCCGCGUGAGUGAAGAAGGCCUUAGGGUUGUAAAGCUCUUUUGGCGGGGAAGAUAAUGACGGUACCCGCAGAAUAAGCUCCGGCUAACUUCGUGCCAGCAGCCGCUGUAA
rnacentral:rRNA from 1 species